rnacentral:rRNA from 1 species
CCUACGGGUGGCAGCAGUGAGGAAUAUUGGUCAAUGGGCGCGAGCCUGAACCAGCCAAGCAGCGUGAAGGAUGACUGCCCUACGGGUUGUAAACUUCUUUUAUAAAGGAAUAAAGUGAGGCACGUGUGCCUUUUUGUAUGUACUUUAUGAAUACGGAUCGGCUAACUCCGUGCCAGCAGCCGCGGUAAUACGGAGGCUCCGAGCGUUAUCCGGAUUUAUUGGGUGUAAAGGGAGCGUAGAUGGGUUGUUAAGUCAGUUGUGAAAGUUUGCGGCUCAACCGGAAAAUUGCAAUUGAUACUGGCAGUCUAGAGUACAGGUGAGGUAGGCGGAAUUCUUGGUGUAGCGGUGAAAUGCUUAGAUAUCACGAAGAACACCGGUGGCGAAGGCAGCUUACUAAACUGCCACUGACAUUGAGGCACGAAAGUGAGGGUAGCAAACAGGAUUAGAUACCCGGGUAGUC